rnacentral:lncRNA from 1 species
AGAAUCGUUUUGGAGUCACAGAAAAGUUGCAGAGGUGAUAAGAGUUCUGUGGACCCAACACCCAGCUUCCCCCUAUUACCAUCAUCUCACACUGCGCACAGCUAAUGAACGGUCCACGUGGGCAGUUCUCACCAUGUAGUCCAGGCUGGCCUCGAACUGACUAUGUAGUCCAGGCUGGCCUUGAUCUCGUGGCAUCUUCCUGCCUCAGCCUCCCAAGUGCUGGGACCACAGGUGUGCACCAUCAUGCCCAGCUUGUGUUGUAUAUCUUGCGG